CCCAGGUGGCUCAGUGGCAAAGAAUCUGCCUGCCAAGCAGGAGAUGCAGGUUCAAUCCCUGAAUCAGGGA
rnacentral:tRNA from 1 species